UGGUUCUGGCAUCGAUGAAGAACGCAGCGAAAUGCGAUAAGUAAUGUGAAUUGCAGAAUUCAGUGAAUCAUCGAAUCUUUGAACGCACAUUGCGCCCCUUGGUAUUCCGAGGGGCAUGCCUGUUCGAGCGUCAUUAUCACCACUCAAGCCUAGCUUGGUGUUGGGGCCUGCUAUAAUAGCAUCCCUUAAAAUCAGUGGCAGUGCCGUCAGGCUCUAAGCGUAGUAAACUUCAUCGCUAUAGAGUCCUUCCGGUUGCUCGCCAGAACCUAUUACUUUAAAGGUUUGACCUCGGAUCAGGUAGGGAUACCCGCUGA
rnacentral:misc_RNA from 1 species